rnacentral:tRNA from 1 species
GCUCAAGUGGCGAAAUUGGUAGACGCGCUGGAUUCAAAAUCCAGUGACUUCGGUCGUGUGGGUUCGAUUCCCACCUUGAGUACGA